CAAGAGGUAGUUUAAUUAGAAUAUCAGCUUUGGGAGUUGAUGGUGAAGACAGGGUCUUCUCUCUUGA
rnacentral:tRNA from 1 species